GACGAACGCUGGCGGCGUGCUUAACACAUGCAAGUCGAACGCUGAACCCGCUUCGGUGGGGGAUGAGUGGCGAACGGGUGAGUAACACGUGGGCAACCUGCCCCCGGCUCUGGGAUAACUCCAAGAAAUUGGGGCUAAUACCGGAUGUGACCGCUGGCCGCCUGGUCUGGUGGUGGAAAGGGUUUCCGGCUGGGGAUGGGCCCGCGGCCUAUCAGCUUGUUGGUGGGGUAGUGGCCUACCAAGGCGACGACGGGUAGCCGGCCUGAGAGGGUGACCGGCCACACUGGGACUGAGACACGGCCCAGACUCCUACGGGAGGCAGCAGUGGGGAAUAUUGCGCAAUGGGCGGAAGCCUGACGCAGCGACGCCGCGUGGGGGAUGACGGCCUUCGGGUUGUAAACCUCUUUCAGCAGGGACGAAGCGCAAGUGACGGUACCUGCAGAAGAAGCACCGGCCAACUACGUG
rnacentral:rRNA from 1 species